CCUACGGGAGGCAGCAGUGGGGAAUCUUGCACAAUGGAGGAAACUCUGAUGCAGCGAUGCCGCGUGAGUGAGGAAGGCCUUUGGGUUGUAAAGCUCUUUUGUAGGGGAAGAUAAUGACUGUACCCUAAGAAUAAGGUCCGGCUAACUUCGUGCCAGCAGCCGCGGUAAUACGAAGGGACCUAGCGUAGUUCGGAAUUACUGGGCGUAAAGCGCGCGUAGGCCGUUGAGUUAGUUAAUUGUGAAAUCCCAAAGCUUAACUUUGGAACUGCAAUUAAAACUGCUCGACUAGAGUUUGAUAGAGGAAAGCGGAAUACAUAGUGUAGAGGUGAAAUUCGUAGAUAUUAUGUAGAACACCAGUUGCGAAGGCGGCUUUCUGGAUCAACACUGACGCUGAGGCGCGAAAGUAUGGGUAGCAAAGAGGAUUAGAUACCCUCGUAGUCCAUACCAUAAACGAUGGUUGCUAGAUGUUGGAAAUUUAUUUCAGUAUCGCAGCUAACGCAUUAAGCAAUCCGCCUGGGGAGUACGACCGCAAGGUUAAAACUUAAAGGAAUUGACGG
rnacentral:rRNA from 1 species